rnacentral:rRNA from 1 species
AGUGAACGCUGGCGGUAGGCCUAACACAUGCCAGUCGAACGGCAGCACAGUAAGAGCUUGCUCUUACGGGUGGCGAGUGGCGGACGGGUGAGGAAUACAUCGGAAUCUACUUUUUCGUGGGGGAUAACGUAGGGAAACUUACGCUAAUACCGCAUACGACCUACGGGUGAAAGCAGGGGAUCUUCGGACCUUGCGCGAUUGAAUGAGCCGAUGUCGGAUUAGCUAGUUGGCGGGGUAAAGGCCCACCAAGGCGGCGAUCCGUAGCUGGUCUGAGAGGAUGAUAAGCCACACUGGAACUGAGACACGGUCCAGACUCCUACGGGAGGCAGCAGUGGGGAAUAUGGGACAAUGGGCGCAAGCCUGAUCCAGCCAUACCGCGUGGGUGAAGAAGGCCUUCGGGUUGUAAAGCCCUUUUGUUGGGAAAGAAAAGCAGCAGGUUAAUACCCCGCUGUUCUGACGGUACCCAAAGAAUAAGCACCGGCUAACUUCGUG